UACGUAGGGGGCUAGCGUUGUCCGGAUUUAUUGGGCGUAAAGAGCGUGUAGGCGGCCAAACAGGUCAGCUGUGAAAACUCGAGGCUCAACCUCGAGACGUCGGUUGAAACCGUUUGGCUAGAGUCCGGAAGAGGAGAGUGGAAUUCCCGGUGUAGCGGUGAAAUGCGCAGAUAUCGGGAAGAACACCCGUGGCGAAGGCGGCUCUCUGGGACGGUACUGACGCUGAGACGCGAAAGCGUGGGGAGCGAACAGG
rnacentral:rRNA from 1 species